GAUGAACGCUGCCAGAAUGCUUAACACAUGCAAGUCAACUGUGGCGGACGGGUGAGUAACGCGUAAAGAACUUGCCUACCGGAUAGGGACAACAUUUGGAAACGAAUGCUAAUACCUGAUACUGUGAGAGAGCUUUGCGUCCCAUUAGCUAGUUGGAGAGGUAACGGCUCACCAAGGCGAUGAUGGGUAGCCGGCCUGAGAGGGUGAUCGGCCACAAGGGGAAUGAGACACGUCCCUUACUCCUACGGGAGGCAGCAGUGUGGAAUAUUGGUCAAUGGACCAAAGUCUGAUCCAGCAAUUCUGUGUGCACGAUGAAGUUUUCGGAAUGUAAAGUGCUUUCAGUUGGGAAGCGGUACCAACAGAAGAAGUGACGGCUAAAUACGUGCCAGCCGCCGCGGUAAUUC
rnacentral:rRNA from 1 species